CAACGUCUCGCAUGGUCUCGGUGUCGCUCUUCAGCCGGUUAACCUGCUGUACUGUUUCAUCGGCGUCUUCAUCGGCACGCUGGUCGGCGUGCUGCCGGGCAUCGGCCCGAUCUCGGCGAUGUCGCUGCUGCUGCCGGUGACGCUGUCAGGCACGCCGGAGUCCGGCAUCAUCAUGAUGGCGGGCAUCUACUACGGCUCGAUGUAUGGCGGCUCGACCACGUCGAUCCUUGUCAACAUUCCGGGCGAGGCCGCGUCGGUGGUGACAUGUCUCGACGGGCACCAGAUGGCGAAG
rnacentral:misc_RNA from 1 species